rnacentral:rRNA from 1 species
GACGAACGCUGGCGGCGUGCUUAACACAUGCAAGUCGAACGGAAAGGCCCCUUUGGGGGUACUCGAGUGGCGAACGGGUGAGUAACACGUGAGUAACCUGCCCUUGACUUCGGGAUAACUUCAGGAAACUGGGGCUAAUACCGGAUAGGAAUCCUUGCUGCAUGGUGGGGGUUGGAAAGCUUCGGCGGUUUUGGAUGGGCUCGCGGCUUAUCAGCUUGUUGGUGGGGUAGUGGCUUACCAAGGCUUUGACGGGUAGCCGGCCUGAGGGGGCGACCGGCCACAUUGGGUCUGAGGGACGGCCCAGGCUCCUACGGGAGGCAGCAGUGGGGAAUCUUGCACGAGGGGCGGCAGCCGGAUGCAGCAGGGCCGCGUGCGGGAUGACGGCCUUCGGGUUGAAGACCGCUUUCAGCAGGGGCGAAGCUUGUGGUGACGGUACCUGCAGAAGAAGCACCGGCUAACUACGUG